AUGUACCCACGUACACUCCGGUUCCUCCGCGCCGUCCGCACUCACCUGACGACUGCUCGCUACGGUUUGUUAGCC
rnacentral:sRNA from 2 species